AGGGAAUGAAAGGAAGAAGAAGAAAUGAAGUGAAACGAAGAGAACAGAGCGUGCUUCAUUCCCUUACCAUUACCUCUGUUCAUUCUUUCACUUCAGUUCUCUUCUUUUCUUUCAUUCAGUUAAUUCAUCAUUCUAUUCCUCUUUCUUCUGUUGUUGUGUUAAAAUGAAAGAGAACAAAGCACGCGCUUCAUUCUUUCGCUUGUCUUUGUUCUUUUCAUUUAAAACACAACAGGAAGAAAGGAAUGAUGAAUGAUGUGUGUGUUUUGUUGUGUGUUCCUUUUAAUUUAAAAUAAAGCACAAGGAACGCGUGGCUUAAUUUUAAAUGAAAGAAACACACACCACAUCAUUCACUUCUUGUUCCUUUUUCUCCUUUGUGCU
rnacentral:ribozyme from 1 species